GGAAGUAAAAGUCGUAACAAGUUUUCCGUAGGUGAACCUGCGGAAGGAUCAUUAUCGAAAUACUUAUUUAGCGUUCCGUGCUAUCCCAUUGUUUUAUUUACCCUGUUGCUUCCACUGGAUGAGUUUCCAUACCUUGUGUUUGAGAAACUUUGGCUUGUGUAAGAUUCAUUCACGGCCAGCCAGUGAGAAGACCAUUUACAAAACCCUGUUAAGAACCAAUUGUCUGAAUAUUUUACUCCAAUGAAAUAAAACUUUCAACAACGGAUCUCUAGGCUCUU
rnacentral:misc_RNA from 1 species